UCUGGUCCGUUGCCAUGACUAGGGCACUUGCAGAAGAGGCUGCUUCCGUCUGCUGGUCACAUCCCAUCUCUGUGCUUCCCCAAGGGCAGGUAUUGGAUGGCGCUGGCCUCCCCUGCCUGCCUCCUUGGCCCUCAGCUGACUGCAGGACCGAGCCACACCUUCAGCUCGUUUUGCUCUCCCAGAGUUCACUUGGGUGUGUGACUCAUAGCACACCCGUGCCGUCGGCAGGAAGGAGUCAUAGCUGUCUUCUGUGGGAGUGGACUUGAUAUCAGGCUCUUAAGUGUCUCCUUUGCUCCUCUUUCCUCACUCUGUCUCUCCAGGACACUUCCUGGGCGGCAUUCCAGAACAUUCUGUCGGAGACCUGCAAGACAGACAGUGCUGGCCAAGGCUACUCCAGGGCUAGUCCUCCUCUCUAGCUGAAGGUCCCUCAGCACCAGCUGCCCGGCUGAUUCCUCAUCCACCUUGUCUUUCUGAUUGUUCUUGCAGGGUUGUGGGAAGCACCUUUUUCUCACCUCUCCCAGGGUGUAUUCUUCACAGGAACUUAAUUCACUGGCUUAUGAGACGAAGCCACAGAGACAUAUCCACAGAGUUUGGGCGGUUGGAGCCAGUUUUUACUACCAACUCUCUACAUGGUGUCGACUACUGGAUCUCCCGGCUGACGGCUUGGAGAAUUUCUGUCGGGGACCGGGACUGUGUUAGGCGCAGCCUGAAACCAACAGUCAGAUCACACAGGCUCCAAGGACACAGAGGGGUGGAAGGAGUACCCAGAGCUGCUCACAGCUGAGCUGCAAACGCUGAGGAAGCCAGCUGCUGGCUGGCAGUGACCAGCUCCGAGUGCGGAUGAGACUCCAGACUUUAGUAACACAGGACUCAUGCGUGUAGGGGCAGAGCGAGAGAGAUCGUUGACUUUGCGGGGCAGAAAGGGUGGGAGAAAAACAGAGGGUUGGUUUUUUAUCUAUAGUUCUUGACUGCUGUUCCUAGUAAGAAAGGGACUUCAGACCCCAGGGGAAGCUCUGCUCAAGCCUCGGAGAGAUGAGGCCUCUCCGCUCUCAGGGUGGCAGCUCCCAUGAGGUACAGCGGGGUAGGGGAUGAGGGAUAUCCUUGGCACAUGGUGUACGGUGUUAAAUCAUGGUGUCUCUUCACAGCAAAAGAACAGUAACUAAGACAAUCAUAGAUAUCCUUCCUACAAACAGUGUAAUUAUCACAAGUGUAUAACACUUUCCCCCAAAGCAGCCUGUAACUAAUUAACUGUAUGCGGAAUCGGCAUCUGUAGGAGAAGCACUGUGCUAAACACUACAGGAGACUGAAGAUUUACAGUAUCAACUUUGUCCUUGCCCUUGGAGAACUUACAAUCUAGUGGACGAAAUAGGACACGUCAAUGAAACAUCUUGAAAAUGACUGCCCCACAGUGCUGAUCUAAGUGAAAUUUAUCCCCACCUCUUUCCUACCUUUUCAUUGCCUUUUCUCCCACAGGGACGUUCAACCUUCUCAUGUUUACAGGCCAAGGGGCAAAUGAUAGGAAUCUUUCUCCCAGAACCCAACUUGUUCCUGAUCCCAUGAAACUUAGUGGUUUAAAUAAGAAAUGUCCCUCAUAGGUUCAAAUAUGUGAAUGCUUGCUCCCUACUUGGUAGCACUGUUUGGGGGGAAUGUUAUGGAACCUUUAGGAGAUUUAGCCUUGCUGGAGGAAGUAGCAUACUUGUUAUGUUACUGGGGGCAGGCUUUGUGAGUUUUCUCACUCCCCAGGUCUCUCCUGUAUGUUGGUGGUUGAAGAAGUGAUCUCUCAACCUCCUGUUCCUGCAGCCAUGCUAGCUGCUUGCUGCCAUGCCUCCCCAUCUCAUAUUUCUGGAGCCCAAAGCCAAAAUAAACUCUUUCUUCCAUAA